AUGGCCGCCCCUGUGGAUCUUGAGUUGAAGAAGGCCUUCACAGAGCUUCACGCCAAAGUUAUUGACACUUAACAGAAGGCGAAGCUGGCAGACAUACAGAUUGAACAGCUAAACAGAACGAAAAAGCAUGCACAUCUUACAGAUACAGAGAUCAUGACUUUGGUAGAUGAGACUAACAUGUAUGACGGUAUAGGAAGAAUGUUUAUUCUUCAGUCCAAGGAAGCAAUUCACAAUCAACUGUUAGAGAAGCAAAAAAUAGCAGAAGAAAAAAUUAAAGAACUAGAACAGAAAAAGUCCUACCUGGAGCGGAGCGUUAAGGAAGCUGAGGACAACAUCAGGGAGAUGCUGAUGGCAGGAAGGGCCCAGUAGGAAGCCUCUCAGGGAAGCUCUUCCUCUUGCCCCUCCCAUUCCUGGUGGGGGCAGAGGAGUCUCUGCAGGGAAACAGCUCCUCCUCUGCCCCAUGGACACUUCAUCUGGAUGGCCUGGCAACGUCACAUUUUCUGCAUCACCCUGAGUCCCUUUUGCUUCCUAGCCCUGGAGCUUUUACCCUGGCUUUACCUCUCACCUUGGCCCAAGACACUCGUACCUCUCAGAGUGUGUGAUGAACUCCCAGGAGAGGGAAGAUGGGAGCCAGGGCAGAUAGGAAGCUCUGCCUGAGCUUUCCACUAGGCAUGCCAGCCAGACCAAUAAAA